GUUGCAGUGGGCCGAGAUUGUGCCAUUGCACUCCAACCUGGGUGACAAGAGAGAAAUUCUGUCUUAAAAAAAAAAAAUGUGAAUCUAUGAGGAAGAAUAAUAGUGUUCUCCCACCACCAUUAACUGUAGUGCUUUGAAAAGAAGACCAAAAUCACAUUUAUUACAUAACAUUCUACCUUUUAGCUGACAUCAUCAUCAUUAUUAUCAUCAUCUACAUUUACAUCUAUCUUAUUAAAUGAUUUAUUUCUGAAAUAUUUACACACAUAAUUUGGGUAAAGUCUAUGUAAUUUCUAAGAGACAUCAUUGUAAGAAAGUUAUAUUAGUAAACAAUAAAGUCCAAGUCAGGCCGAAUACAUUUAGAUUUAGAAAGUUAAGUGUAGUGUAGUUUAAAAUACAUUGCUUAAGGAAACAGUUACAGAUUAUAUUAAACUAAUCCAAGUAACAUUACAAAAAGAUUAUUAUUUUAGUAUAAAUAAAAUUGCUUAAUAUGAAAAAUAAAUAAACCAUUUCACAAUCAAGCUCUUAUUUAUAAAGAGAGGAUUUUAGGGCUAAAUAAAUCAAAGAGAAGUAAUCCCUCCCCCACAUCUUCUCUAUUUCAUUAGGUAAUGAUGGAGUUCAAAGGCAGAGAGCCCCAUUUCUACAACAUAAGCAAAGUGAAAAUUAAUUCACUGACUACAACAAUGUAGCUGUGGUUGGUGAAAUAUAUUUUAUCUAUUGCAAUUAUAUUUUGAGAUUGAGUGCUGCUCAUUGAGUUUGCCUGUGAGCAGAAUUUGUGGUGAGGACCCAGCAACAGACAAGCUAGUAUCCAAAAAAAGCUACUCACAUCAACUUAAUUUCCAAUUUCUUUCAAAUUGAAGGUAAAUUCCAGAACAACAUUUCUAUUCUAUUCUCUGACCAAAGUGUUGGGAAACAAAGACAAUUGUUACCAUUUUCAUUUCUAACAUACUAAAACAAAACACAAAAAACCCCAAAAGUCAAAAGCACUUUUAAAAAGAACAUGCUGUUAACAGUAGUUUGUUCAGUUUCCCCAUAGAAAAUGAUUUAUGGAAGGAGAAUAAAAGAUUAUUCCGAACACUAAAAGAAUAAGACUGAAAAAAAUGAAUUAUCAAUAUUGAGAAUCCAAUAGACAGAGUUAACCAGUUAGAUGCAGUAGAAGAGAUAAUAAGUGAAUUGGAAGAUAGCUACAAAGAAUGAAGCACAGAGAGUGAAAUGGCAAUAUACAAAGCUAGAGGGUAACACAUUGAUGCUACAGUCAGAACACCUAACAUACUUCUGGAGUUCUGUAAGAUAACAGGAGAGAAAAUAGAGCAAGAGAAAUGUUGCAAGGAUUUUUCUAAAAGUGAUAAAAUGUAUGCCUCCAUUUAUUUUUUGUAAUCUCAAAUGUCAGGCUUGAUAACUAAAAUCAAGGUAACAAAAAAUAAUACAGGACAGCAAAGACCAAUAGAAAAUCUGAAAAGUAGCUAGAGGUAGAAGAUAAUGUUGAAAAGAACUGCAUUCUAAAUACAACCUGAUUUUAACAGAAAAUAUGGAAGCAGGAAUUCAAUGGAAUCAUGGGAAUCGUGUCUUCAGUGUAUUUCCAAAGAAUAGUAGACCUUCAAAAACAGAAUUUGAAAGUAAUAUUUGUCAGAUAAAAUAAAAUUACUGAAAAUACAAAGUUAAACAGGCAAGGAGCAAUAAAAAUUAAUGACAAUGAAAAAUGUGUAAUUCUAAAUAAAUAUUGACUGAGUAAAACAAUACUGUCUUCUUGGAUUGAAUGUAUAAUUGAUAAGAUAUAUGCAAAUAGGAAUAAGGAGACUGGAGAUAAAAGUGACAGGAAUAAAUUUAGUCAAACUAUGUUUUGGGCUUUUUUAUGUCUGUAAGGAGAAUGUGAACAUCAUAAUCAAGGACCCUGUAAUUGCACACCCAGGUAUAUUAUAUGCAAAAGAAUUGUAGCAAAUGAUAUGUGAAAGAAUGCUCACUGUAGCAUUAUUCAUAAUAGCUCAGAAAUAAGCUGCCCAAAUAUAUAUCAAAUAAGGAUGGAUAAAUAAUUACAGUAAAAUCAUAAAAUGAAAAAUUAUACAGAAGCAAAAAGAAAUGGAUCACAUGUACAUGCAACUAUGGAGUUAAAUUUCAGAUACAUAAUAUUGAUUCCAGGAAGCCAUGAAUAAGAACAUAUAGGAUAGCACCUACACACAGUUCAAAGCAGGACAAACCGAGCUAUUGAGUUUAGGGUCAUAUUCCUUGUUAGUAAAGUAUAAAGAAAAUUUUAAAAAGAUCAUCAUAAAUUAUGGAUGUUGCUUAUCACAGGAGAUGUGAAGAAAGGUGUAGGGACUUGGAAAGUGGCAUUGAGGUAAACUUAGGCUCUUAGCAAUGUUCCAUGUUUAGCCCUACAUGAUGGUUACAUGAGUGUUUAUGACACAUUGCUAUGUUUUCCUUUUGGCUAAUUUCUAAGUGUGCAGUCUAGUUAUAAUAUAAAAAUUAAUUAGAAGAAAUGUUCCAUGAAAAUUAUUAUUACUCUGCUCAUUAUACACUGAAGGAAAAAAUUCACUAUUUGUAUACAUUUAUGUAUAACGCUAAGAAAUUUUAAGUAGAAACUUUCUGAUUUUAGUUACAACUUUCUGAAAGUUGACAUGAUGUUACCUGCCAACCGCAGAUUUUUCAAUAGGCUUUUCUUUUAGGCUUAAUUAUCCACUUCAUGUGACAAAACUUUGACAUUCUCAGUCUGUUUUUCCCUUGAAUCCCGAAUUCCUGACACAACAAGUGUGGACAUGUUUCCCACACUCUUGGUUUAGCAGAAUGCCUAUAUCAGUUACGUUUUUCUGCAAGAGAAAAUCCUCCAAAACUGCUUUAGAUGUUUGUACCUCACACGUCUUCGGAUUUCAUUUUUCUAAGCUAGGUUUGGUGGAUGGCUCUGGUUACUGGAGAUGGGUCAUGGACUGCAUCAUGAAGCUAGUUCAGCUGAUUUAGGCUAGAAAAGGCAGUGGCAUUCUGACUCCAUUAGUUUCUCAUUCUUCUUCUGGGAACAGUGUACUAGCCAAAUGAUGUCCUAAUGGUAAACGGAAAAGAGUGAGAAACUUCAGUAUGGAAGCCGUCUUAAAUCUCUGUGUAAAGUCUACUAAUUUCCUGAUGACUAAAGCAAAUUACAGGAGGGAAUGCGGAGUCCAAGGUCAAGGUAGUCACCCUGCCUGUGGUGGGAGGGUAGUGCAAGGUUAUAUGACAAAGUGUAGGGUACUUUGAAAUAUUUACAAAAUUACUGAACAUUUUAAUUAAAUAAUUAAUAUUUAAACAAAACAGAGUUGAGUGUAAUUAUACCAAAGACCUAAGCAUGAGAAAUAUGCUUGAUAAAUAUUAUUCAUUGUCUGACAGCCAUGAGUGGGAAAAUAGGACUAAUUCCACCUGGAUGACCUCCUAGAAACUUGUUUUCCGUUUGGGGAAUUAUAAGAAAAUAAUUCUUUCCAUCCCCUAAGGGUGUGAGUGUAUGUGCGUCUAUAUGUUUAUGAGUUUAUUAAUAAUGGUGUCAUAUAAAUUUAUUGGUUAUCAGAAACCAGAUUUUAAGUUGUAUUGGCCUCCCAGGGCUUUCCAAGAUAACCUUAGAUGAUUUUGAUAAAAGGUUUAGAAUCUGGUAUUUAAGUCUGGCAUAAAAAUAAAUCCAUAUUGGUAUGAUCCUAGUUAUGACCAAGCUCCUUUAAUGAUUUAGACAUUUACUGUAUGAUAUAUGUAUGUGGUUUUAAAAUUUCCCUAUGAAACAACUGAAGAUGCUGCAUACAAAUUAUGGAGAGGUUAAACAAGGCAAAAAAUUGCAAAACAAUGAAAAAGAAUAUGCCUUUAUUUGCAUACUGACACAUGAAAAUUCACUUUCCACUUCAACAUCAGUAUAAAAAAUUCAGCAUGUAGCAGGGACACAUAGUAUAUUAAGAGGAGUGAAUUUGAGCUGUUUUGAGAAUAACAAUAUUUUCUAUUUCUAUAAAGACAGCUUUGAACUUAUCCAUUAGUAUAUGCUGGUGCUUUCCUGUUGACAUUAGUCACAGAAUUUAAAGGCCCAAUGUUAUUGCACAGUUAGUAAUCAAGUAUUUAUUGAAGUUAAAGUCUGGAUAUUAAAGGAAUCAGAACCAGUGUUAUUAAGCCUGCAAUUUUUUUGGUCUAACAUCUAACAUGAUGUAUUUUCUGUUCAUCAUUUUGUCAAUUCUGUUAGUGUUUGCAUUUGUUCUUGGAAAUUUUGCCAGUGGCUUCAUAGCUCUAGUAAAUGUCAUUGACUGGGUUAAGACACGAAAGAUUUCCUUAGUUGACCAAAUUCUCACUGCUCUCGUGAUCUACAGAAUUGGUUUACUCUGGGCCAUAUUAUUAUAUUGGUAUGCAACUAUGUUUAAUUCGGCUUUAUGUAGUUCAGAAGUAAGAAUUUUUGCUUCUAAUAUCUCGGCAAUAAUCAACCAUUUCAGCAUCUGGCUUGCUGCUAGCCUCAGCAUAUUUUAUUUGCUCAAGAUUGCCAAUUUCUCCAACCUUAUUUUUCUCCACCUACAGAAGAGAAUUAAGAGUGUUGUUCGGGUGAUGCUGUUGGGGCCCUUGGUAUUUUUGAUUUGUAAUCUUGCUGUGGUAACCACGGAUGAGGGUGUGUGGACAAAAGAAUAUGAAGGAAAUGUGACUUGGAAGAUCAAAUUGAAGAAUGCAAUACACCUUUCAAACUUGACUAUAAGCACGCUAGCAAACCUCAUACCCUUCACUCUGACCCUAAUAUGUUUUCUGCUGUUAAUCUAUUCUCUGUGUAAACAUCUCAAGAAGAUACAGCUCCAUGGCAAAGGAUCUCAAGAUCUCAGCACCAAGGUCCACAUAAAAUCUCUGCAAACUGUGAUCUCCUUCCUCAUGUUGUUUGCCAUUUACUCUCUGUGUCUAAUCAGUUUAACCUGGAGUCCUUGGAAACAGCAGAACAAACUUGUGUUUCUGCUUUGCCAAACUCUUGCAAUCAUGUAUCCUUCAUUCCACUCCUUCAUCCUGAUUAUGGGAAAUAGGAAACUAAAACAGACUUUUCUUUCAGUUUUGUGGCAGGUGACAUGCUGAGUGAAAGGACAGAAACCCUCAACUCCAUAGAUUCACAAGGGGAGCAUCAUGUGUCUUCUAGCAGUAAACAAACUGACGACAGUGGAUACUCCUCUGCUGAAGAGGGAAUAGUUCUGCACUAAUUCCCUAGGUCAGGAAGAAAGUGAGAAUCCUGCCAGCUGCCAUGUGUGUCCAUUUCAAUUACACCUUCAGGAAGAGAAAUACAUUACAAAAGUGGCCAAGUGGGUAUGGUUUUCGUAUGCCCUCCUGUUGGAUGAAAGUCCUCAGGCAAUUCCUGGAGUGGAGCAGAGCCUGGAAUUUCCAGGUCCACGUCCUGGAGGUAAAAGUUCUGUGGUGGGUGUGCUUUGGUCUGCAAAUUGACUGUCAAUUCUCAGGGGAGAUCUGUCUUGGAGCACAUAGUUAGAGAAAUGUGCCCUGCAGGGAAUGUCCAGUGAGUGGGGGUGAAAGGUUACAUUUGCAUUUAUGAAGGGCUAAGCAGGACACACAGAACAAAGGGAAGGAGGAAAGAAGAGAAGAUAAAAUAAUAAUAAAAAAUAGUAACUCAUACUCUUUUUCUUAGAAAAAAAUGGGGCAAUCUGUUACAAACCCAGUCUUUACUGAGUAAAAUCAUUACUCAAGGCUGUAUUGAGUAAUGAUCAUGCCACUGUACUACAUACAGCCUGGGUGACGGAUUGAGACUGAGUCUCUGAAAAAACCCAGAUGCAAAUAACACAAAAAACAAAAGAAAAUUAAAAAGAAAAUCUCCCACUCUAUUUCAUGGACCACAGUGUCUUUUGGGUACCCAGACAUUAGUGUUAGUUCAGGCUCUGCUGGGGGGGCCAAUAUCUGGUUUACUGGUGGCAAUUUCAUAUGAGUCUGCAGCAACCUCAAGUCUUGCCUCCUCAGAAGAAGGAAUUCAACUGAGGGGCGUAAGUCAGAAGAGACUGAAGGAAGUUUCUGAGGAGGAAUGGAAGUUUAUUAAAAAGAGAGCAGGAAAGAAAGGAAAUCACACUUGGAGGAUACCACAGCGGGCACUUUCGAGGUCAAGUGCAGUGUUAGGCCUUUCGACUUGGGGUUUUAUAUGUUGGUAUACCUCUGGGGUCUUGUGUUCCUUUUCCCACGAUUCUUCCCUUAGGGUCUUUUGUUCCUUUUUCCAUGAGUCAACCUCUUAGGGUGGGCUGCUCACAUGCGUGGUGGCCUGCUAACACUGGAGAGGUGAGCAUGCACAGUGUGUUUACCGGAGUUGUACACAUGGUUGCCUGAGGCAUUCUUCCUGUUUUUGGUGGAAUGCCCACAGAAGGUCAUAUUCCACCAUUUCUCUCUCAACACGCAUGCCUCAGCCUACUCGCCCUGUUCCUGAGCUGCUGACUACCAAUUUUAAGCAUUUUUAUUUAUUGUGAAAUUGUCUCUCCCUGGUGCCUGUGACCAAUUAUUAUUUUUAGAGAGGCAGUGUGACAACAGCCAGGCCAUCACCUGAUGGUCGCCUGACAUUCCUGGUGGGUGGUGAGAACCGUCUUCUGCCCCGCUCAUGCCUGACUAUCUACCUACUGUAAGAGCCCUAUACCUAAAAGUCUCAGAUGGUGUGGGUGUGCGUCCUUUCCCUGGGUACUGUUAUCUGGGAAAUGGCUACAGGUCUUUGAGGAAGCACCGUAUGAAUACACCCUGAAUAUCCCUGUAGUGAAUUUUCAGCAUCCUUUAUUUAGGGGACUUAAGCUUCCCUUCAAUUAUUGAAUUCUUGUUCUCGGAAUUGGCUGUGUCCUGACAACUGGUUGAGGUUCUUUGAUUUUCCACUUCAAAGGCUGACCUUAGGUAUGAGCUUUUCAGCUCCGUUUUGCUCUUGGUUUAUAAGUAUUUAUCAAUUAUGAAACUUCAUCAACUACUGGCUUAUGAACUCAUUCCAAUGAAGCUGGGUUUAAAAUAAUCCUUGUUUCACUAUGAUCACGAUAGAAACACAAUUUAUGAGUAACCUUUUAUUUCUAAAGAGAGUAUUUUAGGACCAAAUUUUCAAACAGAGGUAAUAUCUCAGAUCUUCUGUUACAUUUGAGUGAGUGAUGAUGGAGUUUGGAGGUUAUAUUUCUAUAAUGAAAACUGUAUUUAUGGGUGGGGAAUAAAUGGUGGAAUUCCUUAGAAGCACCAGUUCAGUUUUGUUUCCAUGGAACUUAAAGUCCUUCAAUCUUUGAUACACUUGUAAGUACUGUUUUAAUUUUUGAUAUUUUAAAGAUUAUUUUAAACGAAGAAGUCUUGAUUUCUGCUAAUAGAAAUAGAGUAAAAUUUAAAUCACAGAAUAGAAUGGUGGAGCUGUGGUUGAGAUACUAUAUUUUAUUAAUUGUAAUGGCAUUUUCAGAUCAAGUACUGCUCAUUAAAUUUCCCUGGGAGGAGAGUUUGUGGUGAUGACCCAGCAACAGACAAGCUACUAUCCAAAAAAAAAAAAAAAAAAAACCAAAAAAACAAAAAAACAAAAAA